CAUUAGGUGGCUGAAUG
rnacentral:tRNA from 1 species